rnacentral:rRNA from 1 species
UACGUAGGGAGCAAGCGUUGUUCGGAUUUACUGGGCGUAAAGGGCGCGUAGGCGGCGCGGUAAGUCACUUGUGAAAUCUCUGAGCUUAACUCAGAACGGCCAAGUGAUACUGCAGUGCUAGAGUGCAGAAAGGGCAAUCGGAAUUCUUGGUGUAGCGGUGAAAUGCGUAGAUAUCAAGAGGAACACCUGAGGCGAAGGCGGGUUGCUAGGCUGACACUGACGCUGAGUGCGCGAAGGCCAGGGGAGCAAACGGG